rnacentral:rRNA from 1 species
ACUACGGGUGGCAGCAGUCGAGAAUCAUUCACAAUGGGGGAAACCCUGAUGGUGCGACGCCGCGUGGGGGAAUGAAGGUCUUCGGAUUGUAAACCCCUGUCAUGUGGGAGCAAAUUAAAAAGAUAGUACCACAAGAGGAAGAGACGGCUAACUCUGUGCCAGCAGCCGCGGUAAUACAGAGGUCUCAAGCGUUGUUCGGAAUCACUGGGCGUAAAGCGUGCGUAGGCUGUUUCGUAAGUCGUGUGUGAAAGGAGCGGUGUCAACCCGCGGACGGCACAUGAUACUGCGAGACUAGAGUAAUGGAGGGGGAACCGGAAUUCUCGGUGUAGCAGUGAAAUGCGUAGAUAUCGAGAGGAACACUCGUGGCGAAGGCGGGUUCCUGGACAUUAACUGACGCUGAGGCACGAAGGCCAGGGGAGCGAAAGGGAUCAGAUACCCUGGUAGUC